GGUAUUCUUAGUGAGCAUUGCUCACAGUACCUCUUGUUUUAACAGGGUUUUUUUUUUUACAAUAACUAUCGGAAAAGACUAACAAAAUUUAUGUUCCUAUCAUGCAUAAAUCUAAAUAAAUCAUUGAUUUUGCAAAAUCUGAUGACAUUAUAGGAGGGUGGAAUUACUUUAAGUUAUGUUUAGUGCUGUGUGUAUAUAAACAUGCACUCAUAUAAUUAUAUCUUCCCUCUUCCAGGGGGAGACAUAUUGUAUUUGUACUUUCUGUCCGUCCUUCCUUCUGUCACAAAAUCUUGUGAACGCUUCUCCACCUAUAUGGCUUAUCAGAUAGACUUGAAACUUUGUACAAUGCUUCAUUGUCAUUUGCAGAUGUGAAUAUUGUUGGGACGGGAGGAUCCAAUUGUUUUCCUAAGAGUUAUAGUGGAUCUAAGAGGGGUGGAAGAUGUAAAAUAGCUUAUGAACUCUUCUCCUCCCAUAUGGCUUAUUGGAUAGACUUGAAACUUUGUACAAUGCUUAAUUGUCAUUUGUAGAUGUGCAUAUUGUCGGAAUGAGAGGAUCCAAAGUUUUUCCUAAAAGAUAUAGUGGAUCUAAAAGGGGUGGAGGAUGUUAAAAUACCUUGUGAACACUUCUCCUAUAUGGCUUAUCUGAUAGACUUGAGAAUUUGUACAAUGCUUCAAUGCCAUUUGUAGAUGUGCAAGUUGUAGGGACAGGAGGAUCCAAUUGCUAUCCUUAAAGUUAAAGUGGAUCUGAUGGGUGUAGGGUAUAAAAUAGUUUGUGAACGCUUCUCCUCCUAUAUGGCUUAUCAGAGUUCAUGUCUAUCUUCCUGCCCAUGCUUUCUCCUCCAUACUAUUCAAUACAUUAAGGGGGAUGUUUCCUAUAUUUUACGAAUUAAUUGGUUGAUUGACAACAAACUUGGUACACUUGUACAGCAUAUAUAAGGAGUAGAUGACCCCUAUUGAUUCUUAGGUCACAUGGUCAGUCCACUCUUGACAUAGGAAGAUAUUGUCUGCUCAAUAUUUUGAAUUGGUGAUACUACUAUCAAUUAAAUGAGGCACGGGUAUAACCCUUUCAAUUUUGCAACUUGGGGGGCAUAUGUGUUUUAGAAACAUCUCUUGUGUUGUAUUAUAUGAAUUACAGGUUUUAGUGUGCUCAGUUUAGAGAAUAGCAUAAAAGUAUUUGAUAAUUAAAUAUCUUGCAGAUUGGCAGUUUACUCCAUGCACCGACAGGAAUGAUAAACUGUGAUAUUCGUAAAUGGAACUGGGACACGUUCUAAAUAUACUCAGGGACAGAAUGAUGUGCAGCAAGGCUCGUCAUGGGUAGAGAUACUCCCAUUUAAUAUUGAUACUUUUCAUAUCCAAGCAUGUAUAUGGCUAGGUUGUAUAAUGUUUGUUAUAAUUAUCUAAAUUAUGUCCUUCCUUCCAUCUAUUGUUCUGUGUGUUGAUUUCUCACCACUCUGCAAGAAAGGGCAUUCAUGUCUAUUUCAUAGACGAUCGAUCCUACAUGUAGUUGCAAUUGAAUCAUAAAUUAUUCCCAAAGAGUUCAUGAUUUUAUCAUGUUUUGAAUAUAAUAUUUUUUCAAUAUCUAUUUUACCAAAUACAGAACACUGCAAGGCUUGCAAAAUGAAGACCUCAGUAAAACAAAUUCUAAAUUAUCCACUGUAAGGCUACUUACCAGUAAUUCAUAUCUAGAACUUAAACAUAUCAUCCUUGAAACAAUAAAAACUAAUUUAAUAUAGUAUAUUUAUGUAUGUUAUGCUUUUUCAACCUUUAAAUUUUUUAAAGACAGUAUAGUUUAUUAUGAUUGCACAAUAUUUAAAGUUUAAAUUUUCAUAGAAUUUUGUUUGCUCUCCAGAAUGGCAGCUCACUACCUGCCCCUAGUGAUGUUAAAAGAGGCCAUUGUUCUCAUUUGUUCCAAAACAGGAAUGGCAUAUGAGGAGGCCAACAGAAGAUGCACCUCCACUGAGUGUGCACUCACAAAACGAAUAAAUUAUUAUUAUUUCUUUUGUUUGUAAUUGUAUAUUGUCAACAAGGUCAAAGGCACUUGAUCCGAUGCCAAACUUUUGCAUUUCUUUUGCUUUGUGGUAAAUUUUCUUCAGUAACAUUAACAUUGUUUAAAUUGUUUUCUUUGGAGAGUAUACAUGUACACAUGGAUUAUUUGUAUAUUAGAAUUAUAGCAUUGUUUAAUUCAACUCAUUCUUAUCAUAGAGAGGUUAUUAUAUACUGUAGGCAACGACUUGUAAAGGGUAUACUGUUUUAACUCACGUGCAAGGCAAGGCAGUAUUAUGAAACUCUGUAGUUGAUAAGGACAUAUAUCACAUAUCGAUAUGCAUAUUUACAGGAAACUCUGAUGUAUUUUAAAUCUGAACGUUAAUUUAAAAGUGGGGAGAAAUAGCAUUGGAUGAAAAAAGACACAUAUGAAGAAAAUUAUUCCAUACGUAAAUACUUUUAAGCUCACUUGAGCUGAAAGCUCAAGUGAGCUUUUCUGAUCGCCUGUUGUUCAUUGUCUGUCCGUGAUUAAACAUUUUAUAUUUUCUCCAGAAGCACUGGGCCAAUAAUAACCAAACUUAGCCAAAAGUAUCCUUGGGUAAAGGGCUUUCGAGUUUGUUCAAAUGAAGGGCCAUGCCCUCUUCAAAGGGGAGAUGAUCACAAAAAUAGGGUGGGUCAUUUAAUUUUUUUUUUAUCAAGAACCACUGGGCCGGAAGAGCUGAAAUGUACAUGAAAGCUUCCUGACAUAGUACAGAUUCAAGUUUAUUGAAAUCAUGGCCUCCAGGGGUUGUAUGGGGCCACAAUAGAGAAUCAAAGUUUUACAUACAAUUAUUCAGGAAAAAUCUUUCAAUAUGAGCCAAGGUGGCUCAGGUGAGCGAUGUGGCCCAUGGGCCUCUUGUUCAACAUAUAGAAUAAAUAGUUAUGUUGUAUUUCCCAUGGAACAUUGAAACGUUUAAUGCGUUUACCAAUUAAUCACUGAAAGAAAGAUAAAAUUGUUGUUUCAUAUGUUUUAUGAAAACUUAAAGAUGUUUCAUUUCUUUUCAUGAAAGACCCCUUAAUUACCCAGUAAUAUAUAAUCAAUUCUUAACAGAUUAUGUAAAUUUGAUUUAUAUUAAGGAUGUUUGAUCUGAUUACCCAUCAUUAUCAAUCUGUCUAAUAUAGCCAUCAUGUGUUACUAUUGCUACGCAAUCUUGGAGCAUGAGGUAGAAUGCGAACCAGCUCUUUCAUAAGUACAUGUAUCUGGAAAAUAUUUCAAUGUCAAAGGUUACAACAAUGUAAUAAUGUAAUCAUUGUAUGUCUAAGGUCUUGAUAAUAAAACUGUUAUCUGUU